CCCUUCCUCUACCUGCCCCUCUCUCUCGGACUCGCGCUGUGGCUCCAUGGGCCAGAAGACCCCUGAGAACAGCUCACGUGCCUCCAGUCCCUCCUGCUCAGACUGUGAAAACUUCCCGAUGGUUCCCACUCUGGAGACCUCCUACCUUGCGCGGGCUGCAAAAGAACGAGUUCCUGAACUUGGUGCCUGAUAUUGAAGAAAUGCGACCAGGUUCAAGCAGAAAUGAUGUGGAUCGAUUCAAAUUCCUGAGCCUGGAUGAUUUCAGCUGGAAACAAACCAACUCUGCUUCUUCUUCAGAUAAUUCAAUUCAAUUCAAUUUUAUUUAUAUAGCGCCAAAUCACAACA